CAGGGAGACAACAAAAUGUUAAAUAUUAAUUUUGUCACCUUAGGCCGAUCGGUAUCUCAGGUUCUUAAUUAUUUUAAGAAUUUCAUUUCCUAAGUUUUUUCUAGGUCACACCCAUUACUUUCCCUGGGCCAUUAGCUCAGGUGGUUAGAGCGCACCCCUGAUAAGGGUGAGGUCCCUGGUUCAAGUCCAGGAUGGCCCAUAUCUCUAUGUUGGGGGUAUAGCUCAGUUGGUAGAGCGCCUGCUUUGCAAGCAGGAUGUCAGCGGUUCGAGUCCGCUUACCUCCACUGAUUACCACCUCUUCCAUAAAUUUUAAAGAAGGGAAUUGUUAAUAGAGGUGAUUUAGUUCUGAACGAAUCUAGCUUCCUAAUCAAUACAUUAAGAUGCUGGACUCAUUGAAUUUUAUUCAUUGUUUUCAGAGAACCUUGACAACUGCAUAGAUUAUUUUUAAAGACAAUAAGCAUCUUUAAUGAUGCAGAUUUAUUAUUUGUGCUAAUGCAUUAAUAACAAUUCUAUUGAGCUGAUGCUUCAAUUUUUUGAAGUUAUU
rnacentral:tRNA from 1 species